CCCCCCUAGCUAGCUCAUAUAUCUACCUUCUAAUGCAUCAUUACUGACUGACUGGUGAUCUUCUAUCUCCUCCAAAAUUCUCCUUAUAUACUCUCCCACUCGUCUUUCCUUUUUUCUUCUCAUAAAAAUCCUAUCCCUUUCCUUUAUUCUUGAGCUCGAAGCCUUGCCACCACCACCUCGAUAGCUUUUCUCAUGGAGAUGUCCUUGUUUUGAUUCUAAUACAAGGUGAAGGA
rnacentral:lncRNA from 1 species